rnacentral:rRNA from 1 species
UGAGGAAUAUUGGUCAAUGGACGGAAGUCCGAACCAGCCAAGUCGCGUGAAGGAUGACUGCCCUAUGGGUUGUAAACUUCUUUUGUAUUGGGAGAAUAAGCCUUACGUGUAAGGUGAUGACUGUACAAUACGAAUAAGCAUCGGCUAACUCCGUGCCAGCAGCCGCGGUAAUACGAAGGGGGCAAGCGUUGUUCGGAAUUACUGGGCGUAAAGCGCACGCAGGCGGCGUGACGCGUCAGAAGUGAAAUCCCCGGGCUCAACCUGGGAACUGCUUUUGAAACGGUCAUGCUUGAAUCAUGGAGAGGGUAGCGGAAUUCCUAGCGUAGCGGUGAAAUGCGUAGAUAUUAGGAGGAACACCAGUGGCGAAGGCGGCUUUCUGGACUGUAACUGACGCUGAGGUGCGAAAGCCAGGGGAGCGAACA